rnacentral:rRNA from 1 species
AGUGAACGCUGGCGGUAGGCCUAACACAUGCAAGUCGAACGGCAGCACAGUAAGAGCUUGCUCUUACGGGUGGCGAGUGGCGGACGGGUGAGGAAUACAUCGGAAUCUACUUUUUCGUGGGGGAUAACGUAGGGAAACUUACGCUAAUACCGCAUACGACCUACGGGUGAAAGCAGGGGAUCUUCGGACCUUGCGCGAUUGAAUGAGCCGAUGUCAGAUUAGCUAGUUGGCGGGGUAAAGGCCCACCAAGGCGACGAUCCGUAGCUGGUCUGAGAGGAUGAUCAGCCACACUGGAACUGAGACACGGUCCAGACUCCUACGGGAGGAAGCAGUGGGGAAUAUUGGACAAUGGGCGCAAGCCUGAUCCAGCCAUACCGCGUGGGUGAAGAAGGCCUUCGGGUUGUAAAGCCCUUUUGUUGGGAAAGAAAAGCAGCAGGUUAAUACCCCGCUGUUCUGACGGUACCCAAAGAAUAGGCACCGGCUAACUUCGUG